rnacentral:rRNA from 1 species
UCGCCCGCCGCGCGCGGCGGGCCUACGGGAGGCAGCAGUGGGGAAUAUUGCACAAUGGGCGCAAGCCUGAUGCAGCCAUGCCGCGUGUAUGAAGAAGGCCUUCGGGUUGUAAAGUACUUUCAGCGGGGAGGAAGGCGUUGAGGUUAAUAACCUCAGCGAUUGACGUUACCCGCAGAAGAAGCACCGGCUAACUCCGUGCCAGCAGCCGCGGUAAUA